UGGCUGGUUUAGCCUGGCCACUGCCAGUGUCCCCUAAGACAGGCGCCAGGGACAAAGACUUUCCAAGAGGAGGGAGAGGAGGCUGUGUGGAUAAGCUGCUGUGGUCUGAAGGAUGCUGAGUCUGUCCUGGCUGGGACUCGGGCAGGUGGCAGCCUCCCCAUGGCUGCUCCUGCUGCUGGUGGGGGUCUCCUGGCUCUUGGCCCGCGUCCUGGCCUGGAGCUACAGCUUCUAUGACACCUGUUGCCGCCUCAGGUGUUUCCCGCAGCCUCGAAGGAGCACUGGUUUUGGUGUCACAUGGGACUGGUGAGUGUGGGUGGCAGCACGGGCCUGGGGCAUCGGGAUGGAGGCAGUUUCCCAGGGGUGGGUAAUGGGGACCUGGGUGGGGCUGGGAUCUGGGACAGCAGAGAAGGAGGAAGGCUAGGGAGCCGUUCUGGAAUCACUCAUUCAUCCCAGGCCAUUUCCACAUCUUCAUCUUCACACCCCUAGCCUGUUUGGGAUCCAUUUCCUGCCUCCCAUCCCCACAUUAAUGUCCCUCUGAAGGGCUCCCAGGGCGGUCUGCCCAGAGCAAGGACCCUUGGCAUUCCCAGUGUCCAUGGCUACCCCAGAGACCUUCUCAGGGGCGCUGUCCAGGGUCUGCUCCCUACCUGGCCCAUUCCUUUGUGUCUGCUCACUUACCUACAGUAAUUACCUAUGACCUCCCCACCUCCAGUCACAGGGGUCCAGCUCUCCACCCACACCCCUCCCCAACAAAGCUUCCUCUCAGUCUACACUUCCCUGCUGAGAUGUCCCAAUGGGCCCAUUGCCCAACCUGAAUACAGUUUAACCACUCACUUUCCCUUACAGAAGCUUUCUUUGACUCCCCACCUGCAUGGACCUUUGACUUGGGUCUGUUCAUACAUAAAGAAUUAAUUGUCCAGUUACUUAUUUUCCACCUCUUUAUCUGGAUAGUUGCUCUGGGGAUCAGAUACUACAUUGUCCAGCCCAGGAGCUGGCAUACAGUAGGCACUCAGGUAAGUGUUUGAUGACAUAGGUGGUGAGCUUACCAUUACCUGCCAUGUUCAAGGUCAAAGGGUGAGCGGCUAGCCCUUCCCAUCCCCAGACAGGCUGAGGGAGGAGCACAGCUCUCCUUAACUGCCCAGCAUGAGGACCACAGC